rnacentral:misc_RNA from 1 species
UCUCCGUUGGUGAACCAGCGGUGGGAUCAUUACAGGAUCGAAAGACUCCUAUAACCCCUGUGAACUUACUACAAAUACGUUGCUUCGGCGGGUGCCCCGGGUCUCCCGGGGCGUUCAGCCCGCCGGCAGCCUUCAAAUUCUGUUUCUUUGCGUUGGCAUCUCGAGUAUACAAAAAUAAGUUAAAACUUUCAACAACGGAUCUCUUGGUUCUG